rnacentral:rRNA from 1 species
CAGCCGCCGCGGUAAUACGGAGGGUGCAAGCGUUAAUCGGAAUUACUGGGCGUAAAGCGUGCGUAGGCGGCUCGUUAAGUCUGUUGUGAAAGCCCCGGGCUCAACCUGGGAAUGGCAAUGGAUACUGGCGAGCUAGAGUGUGUCAGAGGAUGGUGGAAUUCCCGGUGUAGCGGUGAAAUGCGUAGAGAUCGGGAGGAACAUCAGUGGCGAAGGCGGCCAUCUGGGACAACACUGACGCUGAGGCACGAAAGCGUGGGGAGCAAACAGGAUUAGAUACCCCCGUAGUCCCUGUCUCUUAUAC